CAUGAAGCCCCCCUCAAGAUGAGAUUUCCCAUAGCGUCAAGCUAGUAAGAUCCCUGAAAGAUGAUCAGGUUGAUAGGUCAGAGGUGGAAGCAUGGUGACAUGUGGAGCUGACUGAUACUAAUCGAUCGAGGACUUAACCAA
rnacentral:rRNA from 1 species